AAGCUAAUACCGGAUAAUCAUAGAAGUUGCAUAGCUUCUAUGUAAAAGUUGGGUUUACCUAACACUACAGGAUGGGCCCGCGUCGCAUUAGCUAGUUGGUAAGGKAACGGSUUACCAAGGCGACGAUGCGUAGCCGACCUGAGAGGGUGAUCGGCCACACUGGGACUGAGACACGGCCCAGACUCCUACGGGAGGCAGCAGUAGGGAAUCUUCCGCAAUGGACGAAAGUCUGACGGAGCAACGCCGCGUGAGCGAUGAAGGCCUUCGGGUCGUAAAGCUCUGUUGUUAGGGAAGAACAAGUGCCCUUCAAAUAGGGUGGCACCUUGACGGUACCUAACGAGAAAGYCACGGCUAACUACGUGCCAGCAGCCGCGGUAAUACGUAGGUGGCAAGCGUUGUCCGGAAUUAUUGGGCGUAAAGCGCGCGCAGGCGGUAUCUUAAGUCUGAUGUGAAAGCCCACGGCUCAACCGUGGAGGGUCAUUGGAAACUGGGAUACUUGAGUACAGAAGAGGAGAGUGGAAUUCCAUGUGUAGCGGUGAAAUGCGUAGAUAUAUGGAGGAACACCAGUGGCGAA
rnacentral:rRNA from 1 species